AUUGAACGCUGGCGGCAGGCCUAACACAUGCAAGUCGAGCGGAUGAAGGGAGCUUGCUCCUGGAUUCAGCGGCGGACGGGUGAGUAAUGCCUAGGAAUCUGCCUGGUAGUGGGGGAUAACGUCCGGAAACGGGCGCUAAUACCGCAUACGUCCUGAGGGAGAAAGUGGGGGAUCUUCGGACCUCACGCUAUCAGAUGAGCCUAGGUCGGAUUAGCUAGUUGGUGGGGUAAAGGCCUACCAAGGCGACGAUCCGUAACUGGUCUGAGAGGAUGAUCAGUCACACUGGAACUGAGACACGGUCCAGACUCCUACGGGAGGCAGCAGUGGGGAAUAUUGCACAAUGGGCGAAAGCCUGAUCCAGCCAUGCCGCGUGUGUGAAGAAGGUCUUCGGAUUGUAAAACACUUUAAGUUGGGAGGAAGGACAGUAAGUUAAUACCUGGCUGUUUUGACGUUACCAACAGAAUAAGCACCGGCUAACUUCGUG
rnacentral:rRNA from 1 species